rnacentral:lncRNA from 1 species
UCAUUGCAUCUCCGAAGUGAGAUCCCUUUGGAAGAGAGCGAGCCGGCGGGAACGCACGAGUCCUCUCUGAAGAGGCGGGUGUGAGCGGGUGAGGGAAGGAGAGAGCGGCGGAGGAAGGAGAGAGAGGGGGCGCACAGAGCCGAAGACGUCUCCACGGAGAGGCGGUUGCCACCCUGCUCGCGAGCACCGCAGUGUCACCCGCGACGCAGCAAAGGCGCGACAAGAGCCCCCAAAAGGUCUCUCUCAGCGCGACAGUCACCACUGCCCAGAAGCCCCUCGGACAAAUAGCACCUUAGCGCCUACGAGUCUGCACAUGCUCCGUGCGCUAUAGCGCAGCAAGGCUGUGGCCGUGGGGC